AUUGGAAUGAUGGGAAUUUAAACCUCUUCCAGAGUAUCAAUUGGAGGGCAAGUCUGGUGCCAGCAGCCGCGGUAAUUCCAGCUCCAAUAGCGUAUAUUAAAAUUGUUGCAGUUAAAAAGCUCGUAGUUGAAUUUCUGCUGCAUUACAUAUCUCUUGUUUGAGUUUGUUUUUGUGGCUUAUUUCGGUUUGAUUUUUUCUUUCCGGAUGAUUACUUUGAGAAAAUUAGAGUGCUCAAAGCAGGCUUUUGCCUUGAAUAGUUUAGCAUGGAAUAAUAAAGUAGGACUUUGGUUCUAUUUUGUUGGUUUUAGGUACCAAAGUAAUGGUUAAUAGGAACAGUUGGGGGCAUUCGUAUUUAACUGUCAGAGGUGAAAUUCUUAGA
rnacentral:rRNA from 1 species